UUUAACUAUCAUGCGUUCUGGUAUUUAGCGGUUUUUAAGUGUACGUUUAUGUAUGUCGCCGUGUUUGAUACAUUGUCAAAACACCAGUGCUUGUUUGUGUCUGUCUCUGACAGUGAAAGGCUGUUGACAAGUCUCAGUUAAAUAUAGUUCUACCAGCAGGGCGCGCUAAUGUAUUAGCUAGCAUGUUAGCAUUCAAACAAAGACAUAGCCGACUGAGUUCUUUCAUUUUGAGCAACAAAAAAAGAAACAUUACCAUUUAAGUAGAGAGAAGCAGUGAGGAACAUGGCGAAGUGUGACCGUGCCAUGUUUGAAGAACCUCCAGCCCCUGACUGACGUGAAGUGGCCCCGUUCCAUCCUGCAGACAUGCACAGACACAGUCAAACAUCAUCAAACAUCAGUCUGUCAAAGAUUGGCUUCGAAUGAUCGGAAAUCCACUGUCACAGAUGAUCUACAAAAAUUGAAUAGUUAAACUGAAAUCCUGUGGAAUUACAACUAGAGCGACAUUGGCCACACUGCUAGACCCUCAGCCACC
rnacentral:lncRNA from 1 species